CUGUCCUGACUGGGGAGGACAAAAAGUUGUUCUGCAGUGUUUUCUUCCAAAAGAAAAGAAAUCCAUUCAAAACAACCUUCAAGCUGUGGUCAGGCUUUUUGUUUGGUUUGUCCCAAACAGCCUCUUGCAGAUGAUUAUAAGCUACAUUUGUCUCUGCUCCUUGUUUCACAUUGAACAAGAUGCUGUGGCUGCUCCUCUGACCUCUACAUGGUCAUAAUGGUCACAGCACAGUAACAGAAUUCCUCACUGCUACAGGGAUGCUGUGUGGAUGGUAGAUUAGGUGAUGCCCUCGGAGAAGAGCUUCAUGACCCUGGAGUACUAACCAGCCCUGAAAAACUUCAAGAUUGCAGGAAAGGGCUCAAGUCCUGACACAGAGAAAAAACAUGGGUCUCACAGGCUGUGGUUCAGCUACAAGAACACCUCAGCACCUCAUUUACCUGCUGUUCUUACUCAAGCUGGACUUCCUGAAGCCAUGAUAAGCAAUUAUCUCUGUUGUCCUGGAACUGUACAGCUCAGAGCAAGACCACCAACACUCAAAUGUUCCUGCCUCAUCACAAUCCUUUCAGCAAGAAGCCAGGUUUGAAGAGGAUGAGAAAGCUCUUUUACUACGAAACAUUUAUCUCUCUCUGAGGGGGCUGUACUCUCCAACAAAGCUAUUUCAUCUCAGAAGCCAGGUUAAAAGAAUCUUUUCUUUUUGGGAACUAGCAGUCACCAAACUAGAAGCAGUGCCUGAAGAGUUAGUAGUAGCAGGGAAAGAGAUGCUACUAGGGCAGAAACUUAGGAAGAUUCCAUAAUGUCUAAUGUAUUGAGAGACAAAACAAUGAAGCUAGUCAAGGGUGAUAAAGUUAUUUGACUGCUUAUGAAAUACUUCAAAUCUCCUAUAAGUACACCUAGGAUUGCAUUGCCUGAUAAAGCAGUUUUAUUCAGGGUCAAAUGCAACCUGGGAGCUUGCAGAGUAGCUUCCUGUUUGAAUACACACGAUGAGACAUUAGACUCAUUUGUUUGGUUAUGGAACAGCCAAAAGCAUGCUGAGGUGCUUGAGUUCAGGCAUUGAUCAUUGUUUGUGUGCUUUUGGUUUUGGUUUGAUUUUACAGAACUGCUAUAAACAGCUUCUGAAUAACACCUGAACUUCAGCCCUGUUUCUGAGGUAGGAUGAGUCCAAAGUUUCACAUACUCUUUCAGUUCACUAACAGUGCUGUUCACAUGUGACUGAACUUGUAUCUGGGCAAGAUCUUAGAUUAAGGGGAGCAAUGUGUGGUAAGCCUCUUCCUCCUGGGUUGCAGUAAAUUUCAGCUUAUGAUUCUAACCAGACCACUGUGGAUGCAGUAAUUUGACCAGUGCUGUUCAGCCUGUGCUAACGGGCUUGGUAAGGACAGCCUGAAACACCCUGCUCCAGACUGGACAGGAACCCUGCACAGAGUUUGGAGGAAAGGCUCCAUUCAUAGAGAGCAGGAGCAUCACUAGAGCUUUUCCUUUUAAGGAACAAUGGUUUCACUUCACAAAUUUGUAGCUGAUCUAGCAAACAAUACGUGAAAAAGACUCAGGUGUGAGCCACACAUGAGCUGCUGUAAGACUUGAAGCUGACAAACAGGGA